rnacentral:rRNA from 1 species
CGCGGGAAUCCGAAUGGGGCAACCCGGCUGGUAGAAGGCCAGACAUGCCGUAAGGCAGGCGAACACGCCGAACUGAAACAUAUAAGUAGGCGGAGGAAGAGAAAACAAGAGUGAUUCCGAGAGUAGUGGCGAGCGAAAUCGGAUCGGCCCAAACCGUUGUUGUUCCGGCAAUGACGGGGUUGUAGGACCACAAUGUUCUUUGCGCGACGAACCGGAAGCAGUUGGAAAGCUGCACGAUAUGGGUGACAGUCCCGUACGGGCAAGGAGCGUUAAAGAUAGUGGUAUCCUGAGUAGCGCGGGGCACGUGAAACCCUGUGUGAAUCCGGCGGGACCAUCCGCCAAGGCUAAAUACUCCUGGGAGACCGAUAGUGAACCAGUACCGUGAGGGAAAGGUGAAAAGAACCGUGAACAACGGAGUGAAACAGACCCUGAAACCAUACGCCUACAAGCGGUCGGAGUCCCGAUUUAUCGGGAUGACGGCGUGCCUUUUGCAUAAUGAGCCUACGAGUUACUUUUACCGGCAAGGUUAAGCACNNNNNNNNNNAAUGGAGGGCCGAACCCGUUGACGUUGAAAAGUCUUGGGAUGACCUGUGGGUAGGGGUGAAAGGCCAAUCAAGCUCGGAAAUAGCUCGUACUCCCCGAAAUGCAUUUAGGUGCAGCGUUCUGAUAGUUAUAUAGAGGUAGAGCUACUGAUUGGAUGCGGGGGCUUCACCGCCUACCAAUUCCUGACAAACUCCGAAUGCUAUAUAAUGUUUCAGGGCAGUGAGGGCAUGGGUGCUAAGGUCCAUGUCCGAGAGGGAAAGAACCCGGACCAUCAGCUAAGGUCCCCA